UAUAUAUAUAUAAUGACUGAGCUUCUUUUCAGUGAAGGAAGCCGUCUGUUUUUAAACACUAAAAUCUUAAAUCUUUUUAAGUCGUCACUGUGAAAUCACCUGAUUUUGCCUUACAUGAGUAUUCUACUGUUCUACUUAAGUGUCUAACGUGACAACGUAUUUUCGUAACUUAUUGUAACAUUUUCUUGUAUUUCAGAGGAACUUAACUUUUGGUCAGUGAUAUUUGUGGUUAUGUUGUGUAAGGUUUGACAAAUCAAUGUACUGUAUUUUGUAUCGGUACAGUUUAUAGCCAAAUUGUUGAUGUUUUUAAAGUGGGGCUUAAAAACAAAACAAAAAAUCGAAAGGACGGGUGUGAGGUGUUUUUAGAAGGAGCGCAAUUAUGGGGAGGCUUUUUGCUCCUUGACAGGGAAGCUCUCACAAAAAUGCUAUUGAGCUUUGCCACAUCAUAUGACAAAAUACCAUACAAAGUAUACAGAUUUUAAUAGUUGAUCGUUGGAUAUUCAACAGUAUGGAAGCCUCCAAAUGGAUGUAUUGAUAAGAUGCAAACUUGCAGAUUCAGAGUAUUGUUUAUCAUAGAAGGUUUAUUUACCCCAUUAAGUAAACUGGAUGAAGUACAUAAAGGUUUAAGAAAGGAUAUAAUUGUAUUUUUUAUUUCUGUUAUUGUAUGCAGUUUUCUCAGAUAUCGAUUCUGAUCGGUUUAGUGUCACAAACCAAACAAAACUGGUCACAAUAGCAUUCAGGGAUGUAGUGGAGUCUAGAGUUGUUUACGCCUCCUUUUCAAAACGAAAAAUGUUUACACAAGCUUUCACCUGAAAAACAAUGUACAUAUUGAUAUUGUCUCCAGCUACAUCCAUGACACGGUCUCUUUUGCCAAAACAUGUGCAACAAAUUGUCAAAUUUUGAAACGUCAGAGUUCAAUCUGCGUUGGCCUUUUGUCAGAGUUUCCCUGAGAGGUGUUUGUAGGUCUGUGGGAUCAUGUUUGGUAUAGUGUAAUGUUCAUGUACAGUUGUGCUAAAUCAUUUACUCACCUAUAGCGCUGUUGGGAAGAUUUUCCAACCCCCUCCCCUCCCCUGCCCUCCCAUAAAGGAAUCACGUUUGGUUUACUGCACACCUCCACAGCUGUACGAUUUGUUUCAGUUCCAGUGUUUAUUUGUCCGCUGUAAAUCUUCCCAUCAAAUGUUUUGUUUGCCUUCAACAGAUCUGUGAUUCCUAUGCAAAUGAGACAAAAUAACCACCCUGAAAGGAAAAAUCCACCUCUGUUUCUUUUUUUUUUUUCUUUUUUAAACAGGAGUUAAGCUGGAUUUGUUCUUCUAAAGUGUUGUGAUUAUGGAGGCUUUGUACUGCCAGAAAAAAAAAAGUACGAACGGGAGCGUCUGAGAUGCAGAAAGAAGCAGUGUUAAUGAUCAACUUAGGCUGUUUUCUCUUAUUAAUGUUGGUAGAGAUCAUUGAUGAUAAAGACAGCUUUGAGUAACUUGAAAAGACACAACUAUAAACAUUAGACACAUCUAUUAUAGAUGCACAAUUAUAUCGGUAUAUCUUUGGUAUAGGCUGAUAAUAAAUACUUGAAAAUUAAAUAUCUUCAUCAGCCCAAAAUGAACGGUUCUGCCGAGUAGUUGUCUUAUUCUGCCCAGUGAUUAUGUACAUUUUGAAAAGUACUGUACGUCUGCAUCUGCCUGGCCCAUCAUAGUAAGAGACUUGAUGGCUAAAUACUGUAAAAAAAUAUAUCGUCUCCCUAAAAAUGUUACAUUGUGAUCGUGUCUGUAAAACAAGAGUCCCAAAAGAUGGAGCAGUUUGUAACGGAAGAUGAAGCUUUCCAUUGUCUUUUUGCGCGUCAGAAAAUAAACUAUAAUCUGGGCUAGUUUGAGUGCAGGUCAUCGAGUGUUGCGGUGGUGCUUUGACAAUCAAUGAGUGAAAUCGUGCGCUGAGCUCUAAGUGUGUUUCUCAGAGGAGUGUCUUGACAGAGAAACAAAAAUCCAGCUUAACUUUGAAAUAAGAAUGACAUUACAAAUCACAGAAUUCCUCUCACAUAUCUUCCAGUGCGACUGUUGUCUAUAAAGAAACCUUUCCCCCCAACCCUUGAGGAACAAACGCCACUGUUUUUAUAAUUUAGAUUAAUGGCGCAUCCUGCUGCAGUUGCUUGAAAUAUCUCAGUUGUCAUGGGCCAGUAAUCCAUAGGAAGAAGACAAAUAAACCACUAACAAAAAGGCCUUGAAAUGACCCUUUACCAGAAGCAUUUCUUUUUUCUUUUUUUCAUUUAUCUCGAGCUGGAUUUUUCCUUUAAGUCACUGAAACAAAUGUAUAUUUACUCCUGAAAAAGAAAAAAAAAAAAGAAAAAAUAAGCAUUGUAUUUGAGCCAAACGUCACUGUUGUAACACCGGUGAUGUUGAGCUUUCCUGUCAUCCUGCUGAAUCCUAGUCCUUCACACUGACCUUGUACAUAAACGCUAUCGGUGAAACAAAAUGCAUGACUAAAACAUGACAGUCAGAACCUCUACGUGAAGGCCUUCUAUAGCCGCGCAGGUUUGAUUUGUGUAACAUAACGCUAUCACAAAUGUCUAAAGGGAUGCAUGUGUGGGUUUCUCCAGUGCAACAGUUAACUCAGUUUUCCUGUUCAGUGACUCUGUUACCUCCAUCUCUGUAUAAUGCUACUUCAUGAAUGAUAAGAGAAUGUAUUUUCUGUGGCAGCGUACUAGUUUUCUUGCCAAACGUUGGGGAGUUUUAUGGUCCCAUCACAGUUGGACCAGAGUCUCUCUCUCUCUCUCUCUCUCUCUCUCUCUCUCUGUCUAUCUCUCUUCACCGUCUCCUCCUCAGAUGAAUUGGACUGUUGCUUGUUCUACUCUCUCUCUUUCUUACUUCCUACUGUAGCAUCUCACCGCGUACGAGUGUAAACAGUUGAUUCUCGCAAUGCAAAAGAAGCCUGCGGUCGAUCGGGCCCCUCGCCUCCAUCAGCGCAACCUUUUUUGUUGGCUUUUUCGAGUAAGAAAUGCAGGGGGAUUGCGGAUUUGGCACAUGCGCUGACCGUUUGCAUUAUGCGCACUUGAAUCCUCUGGCGCUUCUGCGUUACAUGGUCGACUGCAUGACAUGAUAGACGCAUCGAGCUGAUUCUCAUCCCGCGUUAGGUGCAGGGCAGGAGUUUGACCGAGCUGUGACAUCAGAUAUGAUUGUUCUAUGUUGCUGUUGCCUAUCAUGUCAGGUUUUGGACUGGGUAAAGUGUAUUCUGUUUUGUUGUUGUUGUUUUAUUUGUUUUUUAUUUUCUGUUCUUGUGCAAUGUUUAGUCCACUAGUUGCUUCGCACUUUAUUUGUGACUUAUGAGCAGGGACCGCUCUGCCUGAGGUGAAUGCUGACUGUUUGACUCCAGAUGUAGACUCCGGAGAUAUUUUCAUGUCAAAGAAAAGAUGAAUUCUCUAUUUUCCUUUGUAAACUAUAUUUUGGCUUGUCUUGUGUUUGUUUUUUUUGUUUUUUCAGUGAAGAUUUUAGGGGAUGCAAAACUAGAAAGGGCUUACUCCAGUGCAGCUUGUGCUCUCGUGUUGGAAAGGAACGGCACUCCGAAUGUACUUCUUUGUCGAUCACCCCCCCCACACACACACACACACACACGAAAAGCGCUUUGCGUUUGAGCAAGUUAUCACAGUGACACUAGAUGAACUCCCUGAAAUGCAGGUUACGCGUUUUAAAUAUGAAGAAUUACAACAUGUCAAACAUUUCUUCUCCAGUUCAACAUGAUUAAUGUAAGAAAUGCCUCUGUUUACCUGCAGGUGCAAUAGUAGAAGCAUUUAGUAGACGGUGGUCUGAAGUGCUGUCUCCAAGUUGGAAUUUAAUUCAGAGUUAAACAACAUGACAACAGUGUUAGAUGCCCUUUUCCAUCGUCUCAGAUUUGCUAACAAAGUUAACUAACGUUAGCCCUAGCAGAGAUUUAAGAGUAUGGCAGCUAAUACACCUCUAAUCAAAGUUAUCAAAUUGCAGAAGGGAAUUUAUGAGGGUGUUAAAAUCAACAAUGUUCAGCAGAGUUUGCCUGAUCGUGGUUUGGCGGGAAAACAUUCGCUUCUGUAGAACACAAAUUGGCAUUUUGCGACCUCUGGCUGACUUCGCAAAUAUUGAAACGUUCGACAUCAAACUCCCAUUUCCCUAAACAGAUGAGAUAAACGAAUCACCUCAAAAUAUAUUUUCUACUUCUUGUAAUCUAUUUAGUUUUGACUCGUCCGCUUGUGUCAGUCUGAGACUCCACCCGGUUGCAUUACUUGUCAGCACGACCUGCGUUUCCUAAAGAGUGCUGAAGCUAAAUCGUGUCGCAGACUGAAGAGGCAGACGAGUGAAGCUCAAACAGGAGUCCCGUGCUUUGAAGGUGUCUCUUAAAAGGGAAAGUUUGUCACACUUUAUGUCAAAAAGUCUGAUCAGUAUUGAUGGUGCAUGUAGUCAGUUGAAGCGGGAGCAUACAUUCACAGAGACAGCUGAGCCCCCCUUAGUUACUGUUGCUAGGUUGGACAAGCUUUGCAACAAGAAACAAAAAUAUUCUUUUACAGUACAAGCUUAUUGGAAGAAGUCUUUUUGGACCCCAGCAAAUCACGUGACAAUAUAAUUGGCCACUAAGAAAACUGUCUUCAGAGCCUGGCUCGUCCUGGGGGUGUGCUACAGUGUGAUGUGUCCGAGAGGAUUGUGGCAUCUAUAUACUGCAUGUAUAGAUAUCUGAUGUGUGACUUAGUUGGGAGCCAGAGCCCUUGAGAGUCGAGAAAACGGAUGUUCGAAAUCCUGGUCAUCACUUGUGCGUUGGAAAGUGUUCCCAGAAUUCCCUGAGCUCAUUUGCUGUCAUCAGGCCACCAGCUGGACCUGCUGGGCUCUGUAGGUGUCAAAGUCCUCAGGAAGUGUGUCUGCAGUGGGAAAAAGCAGGAAGAAGCUUCCGGCUGUAGAGGGGACUACUGAUAGGGGUGAAAUGUGCAAAACCAAAGCAGAGUGAUGAUAAGUCCGUUCAUGAACUGGACUCACCGUUGCAGCGAUAACGCAAGUUGGCCCAGAUGAUGUUCUCCUGGGAGAAGCAGAAGACUCCUAGUCGGCCUCCUCUCAUUGUGGCGUCUAUGAUGACGCCUGUGUCUGCCACCAUCUGAGGACCCUCGUAGAAACGAACUCUGCCAGCAAAAAAAGAACAGGGGUCUCCAAUCAAGUCGUUGUCCACAUCCGUCUAAGAAAGAUGACAUUGUAAAGCUGAUCAACAUCUGUGUGACAAGUUCUGCGCAGAGAGGUUCUUCUGAUUGCCAGUAGACUACAGAGGCAAGUCCGACGCCCUGGACCUGAGGGCCGGUGUAUCCAGCAGGACAGGAACCGCAGCGGAAACCCGGGGAGGUGUUUAUGCAGCGCACACCCAUGUGGCACGGCUUCACGAUACACUGCCAACAACAACAACAGAC